CUCAAUAUAAGGUCAUCUUUAGUCACAGGUGAUAGCGCUAACAACGUAGAUCAAAAUUCACAAGUUGUCCAACUUUGGCUAAGAUCACCAUGUGGUAUCAUAGGAACUCGCUACAGAACGGAAAGAUGUCGCCGAAGAGGGAAACGAAGAUUUUUCAAAAGGAAAAGUAAUGAAAAUGAUAAUCGAAGGCGUGGGGAGGAAGACGAGGACCAACAAACGAACGUGACUGAGUACUAAGAAUGAAUGACAUAAAGAAACACGGAUGAAGUCGAAUUCCAUAAACCUAUUACAGGAUCUUGGCAUUACAAAGGAAUCUACAGAAAAAAAAGAGGAAGGAAGAUUGGCAAAAGGAAGUCUAAACCACGGAUUUUUUCCCAUCGAAAGAUGACGAAUAUAAAAACAUUUACCUAACUAUCCGGACUGCUGUAACGAGAAUUAUUUCAAAUUUUGUGUUCUUGGUUUAUUUAAAUUAUUAAUUUUUGGGA